UGCUAGACUGUCUCUAUAAUUUUCCAUUGAUAACUUAACUUGCGCGUUAAAUAUUUUACACGGAACCAGUCGAGUAAUACCCAACACAACUAAAAAUAAACACUGGAAUUCCACAAACUGUUCAUGUUUAAGCUACUUUCGGAUUGAUUGCUUAUGUACAACUACAGGACUCUCAAUCUCACUCAAGUUGAUGGGUCAGUUGCACGAAUGGUAACUGUAAUUCACACUGGUCACGGGAAAAGGUGCCGCUGUGUGGGAAUCAAUUGUAGUUUCUCCGGAAAAGAUGUUACAGCCAGUGUAUGAAGACUGAACUUUUGAUAGGUCACAGGUGCUCUUGCAAAGACUGAUGGCCUGGCAGCAUAAACUAUUCUAUGGUAAAUAGGGCCUGACAUAAUUUGUGUUAUGUUUUCAGCUUUUUAUACACCCGUCUCUGGAAGAGCGGGGCGUAUUAUGUAAACACCCGUGGAUUUUGAAAUAACUUGGCAUAAAUGCUCACCAUAAUGAGAUAAUGUGUCAUGUGCAAGAUUCAGACCCCUAGC
rnacentral:lncRNA from 1 species